CCUCCACGACUCCGCCCUGCGCCUGCGCCCCCACGGGGACGUCCCGUGGAGGCUGUGCGCACGUGGGCUUCAGCUCACCUGCCCGGAGCCGGGGGUGCGUGCCGCGGGCACAGGAGGGCGUGGGGCUUGCCCGGAGCUGCAGAGGAGUCCCUACGGAAAGGCGAGAUGGAGACUGGGGCGCAGAUCCGGGCGGCCUGGGUGGAACCCUGAGACCCCAGCCUGCGCCUCCUGAGGGACAACGGGGAGCCCUUGGUUUCUUCUCUCCUUAGUACAAGGGAUCCCUCGGCGGGUUCAAAGCGGAAGAGCAUGGACAGGGUACGGCGUCCUGCCAGCCCCACCCUAAGUAACGCUAGGUUUAGCUCCUUCCCAGACGCCUUUCGAUUCAUAUUUCUCUCCGUUUGCCCAGAAAUACUCUACCUAAAGCAGAGAUCACUCCUCACCAACAGUUUGGAAGAUCAUUUGUAUAAAAACUUUUAAGGGUUGCUGCAUGUUUAUCCAUUAGGGUGUUGGUAUUUGCCUAGAUUUUAGGAUGAUUAGCCCCUUGUUUAUCUUUUAUAGGAAUUGUGGUUUGUCCUUUUAUCCCCUUAGAAUAUUAUUAUUAUUCUGCUUGCAGAAGUUUUAAAAAAUUGUAUUUAGUUUAACCUUUCUUUUACAGCAUCUGUGUUGUGGGUUAUUUGAAAGCCUUACUUCUGAUGAGUUUGCAGAGAAAUAACAGUAUUUCUUUCCAAUACUUUAAUAGCUUUGUUUUUUUACAUGGAAAUCUUUUAUUUUUUGUUUUUUGAAUUUAUCUUGGUGAAUGAUUUGAUAAUAAAAUGCAGUUUUGUUCUAGAUUUUUAAAAAUUAUUCCAUUGUUUUUUCAUAACAUGAAUUUUUGAAGAGUGUAAUACUCAAUCCGUUGUAGUUUAUUUUAGUGUAGGAUGUUCCGAGGGGCAUGGCUUUACUUUGUUUUUUUCCUAAAAGGCCAACGAGUCAGAACAACAGCAUGCAGUGAGACAGGGAGACCUCUUUUAUGGUCAUUUGAAAUCCUGUGUCUUCCCAGUGAUAUUCCUUCUACCUCAGCUGUUCUGAGUAUUUGUCUCUGGACUGAGCGCCUCUGAGGACGAAGGCCCCCUUUCAGAGAUGAGUCCACUGCCCUUGAGAAGGGUCCUGCAGCACAGCACCCCGGAGGAAGCUGCCCUUUUGGGUGGGUAGGGCUGGACCAGGACCCCUGGGCUCCUGAGGAGGACACGCCCAUGCCAGCCUCGGGCACCUGGCCGCAGCAACAGGGAAAGUCCGGCCCGACAGGAAGGCGGCCACGAAACCUGGGACUGCCUGGGAUCCCCAGUGUGGCUGGGAGGAGGAGACGGGACCUGAAGAAGCUGGCGGCUGCGCCUUUGAAGCCCCUUUUGCUGAAGUGCCUGGACUCCUUGGAAGCCGGGUGUGGGAGCACUGGACUGCUGCUACCACCUUCUGUCAUUUAGCCCCUCCAGGCCCUCUUGAAGGGGCUUGGGUCCAGCUUCCAGGCUACAGCAGAUGGUGCAGCUCUCCAGAAGUCCCUUUCCCUGCAAGCGUUCCUGUUGGCCUUGCAGCCCCCUCUGCAUGGCUUCGCUCUCCUGUCUGGUGGGGGUGUCAGUCAUUCAGGGCUUCUCUUGAUGCUGCCCCGCACACGCCUCUGUCCUGUGCCUGAGCUAGUGAGGAGCAGCCUUGUACAACUGACCAGAAGUCCUGUGUGUGGACCUACCCACCAGGACUGCCUCUCUUUUGCAGGGCAUCUGUGUCCUAUCCCUAGUCUCCUCCCUGUGGGCUGAUGCUCCCCCCUGCCACUAGGAGGGAUGGAAUGAGCCCGGCUGGAAUACUCCAGAGCUGGAGAAGAGAAGGGGCCUGUGGGUGUCACUGUGGGAUGGUGAUUGUCACAAAACCUCACCUCCCCCAGCUCAUCCUGGGUCUCCAGAGACAGCACAGCCCCUGGGCCCAGGCGGUCCUUCUGUGUAGGCUGCAGGCGCUCUGUUGGGGCAGCCAACUCCCAGCUGUGUGCUUGCUUCAGGGGCAGUUCCUUUGCUUCCAGGGGCUUGCUGGCUGGUCACGGGCUCCCACUCCAGCCAUUGUCCGUGCCCCCACUGGCACUCCUCAACACCAGUAUUUCCUGCACCUCAUUUUGCCCUUCUAGGUUUGCUUCUAUUUUUUCACUUUCAGGGUCAGGACCCUGAAGCGUGGUAACCUGCCAUCAGUGGCAGCAGACACCAUCCUUUCUUCUACCGCCAACCUUGUACUUUGUGACCCAGCACCAACACACACCCCGUGCCAUCGUGCUCAGCCACCUGUACCCCAGGCUCCAGUUUGUAUGAGCCUGAGCCUGUCUUGUUCAGAAGCAGGUUUCCUCCUGCUCCUUUCCUAGUCCUGACCUGAGGCCCCGUCCUCCUCGCUGCAGCUCCUGAAGAGGGGACUCCUCAGGCCUGUGGGAAAUUGUCUAGACUGCCCCUCACAGAUGCUCUGCCCUCAGAUGCUGCCCAGGCUGGCCCUCCUUGUCCCUGUCGCAUCCCCACCGGCCUCUUCAUGCUCUUGCCAGACCCAGGUCCCCUGGUCCUUACCUUAUCUUCCUGCCCCACAUGGAGACUCGGCCCUCUGGGUGGUGGCUGGCACAUGCAGGCUGGGUAGGUUAGCUCUGAGCUGAGAAGCCCGGAUGGUGCCCAAGAGCUGACCUUGUGGGUUCUGCAGCCCAGAUGGACAUCUGCUUUACCUACAUAACCUCUCCUACAGAGCAAACCAUCUGAGACACUUUUCCUCUGACAGAUGGAGCAAGUGAGGCAGUGGGAAGCCUGGCUGCUGCAGAGCAUUGAGGAGGCCACCCAGCAUGAGCUCACCAUCCAGGACUGCUAGAGCAGAAUAAGGCACCCCUAAAACAGGGCACCCCGAAACAGAAUCCCAGGCUGGAUUGGAACGAUAGGACAGGUAGACUCUAAGGUCAGGCAAGGUCAGGUGUUCUGUUUUGACUGAACCAGUGAGAGUUUUGCUGUCCAGCCGUGGGGCAGUCAGAAAGCAUUGAAGAGUGAGAACGUGGUCCUCCUGCACUUGUGUGGGGUUUCCAGUAAAGCAGGAGGGAUGAAAUUUCCCAGAAGAGUGGACAUGGCCCGGCUACAAGUCCUGGGGUGGUUGCACCCACUCCCCUCUGCUGAGGCUCCUGGCUGGUGGAUGGACACACUUGUGAGUUCAACAGCUGGUUCCUCCAGUAUAAGCUGACAGAUCAACUUGUUCACUUUUUCUUUUGUUACAACAAUUAUCAGCCUAUAAAAACUAAAGCUUAUGAAAUCUUCAAAUAAAAUUAUAAAGCAUGAAAAUUGCCUACAAUUGCACAACAUGGAGAUAAAUCAGCGUAGUUCCUUCUCAUUCUUACUGCUAAAAAUAAACAGUUUUCAUGAGAGCUAUUUCUAAAAUCUGGCUGAUGCAGAGUAAUUCAGAUAUGUAAUCAGGUUACCUAUCUCUGUCUUGUUUCCAUCCUUUGAAAAAUUCACCUUCAGAAUGAAACCAGGGAGAAGGGAGAAUAAUGUAAGGACUCUGGGGAAACUUGCUGGAGGCUGGGGAAUUACAGGCAUGCAGGAGGCAAUUUUAUGAGGAAGAUAAUUUCCUAGAUAUUUAUGUUGCCUUUCUCCUGUGUGCGUUAAUUAAAGAGGUUCCUGUGUUUGCACAGUGGAAUAUAUGCAAGUCUCCAUAGGCCCUCCAGUUACAUGUUUGAAAUGCACUUAUCUCAGAAAUGUCACAAAACAGCAUAGACUGAGCAUGUUCUGUCCAUGGGAAGAUGCUGGUAGGACGUGAAAGAGGGAACAAUUCCCAUGCCAGUGUCUCCGCAGCCUGAACCUGCACACAAGGACGGGAGUCCCACUAGCUGGCUACCACCAUCUGAGUCCACAGGAGUGUGGCUGGCCCUAAGGGGCAUUCUCAGACUGUGACAGUCGGACAACAGUGCUGGCAGCUCAGGGUGGGCAGUCAGUGAGAAACUGCAGGAUUUCUAGAUGAACAUUGUCUUAGGGGAAAUGACAGACCAUAAACAGUAGCCCUUGGGGGGAAUGAAGCCAUCCACGCUCAUUCAGAGAUGGGGGCAGGGGUGACUUGUAUCACCAUUUUGGAUGAAAAGCAUCUCCUUAAAUCUCGUUUGUGUAUACAAACCACAUAAUUUGCAAAAAACACAGUUUAGAACAUGGGGAAAGGAAAUGCAUGCUCUUCCUGAUACAGUUUCUGUUAAGUUGAAAUGAGUUUUCCUCUCCACUCUAUUUAAUGUUUUACCCUAGGGUAAAGAUCACGUUUACACACAGUGUCUGUACUCAGAGCCUAAGCACUCCCCCUCGUCACUAAGUGUGGCUCUGAAACCGGACCUGCCGGACCUGCCCAAGUUCCACUGCAGGAUGCCCUGUGCUCUGUGUUGAGAUUUCCACACUGCCAGACAUUUGGUCUCUGUAUUAGUUUCUAUUAGCUGAGUGUCUUGGUUUCUACUGUGUUUAAUUUCUGACUGCUGCAUAACAAGCUGAGAGGCUCAAAACAAAAUCCAUUUAUUAUCUCAGUUCUGGCAGCUCUGCCAGACCUCUGCCUGGGACCCUCCAGGUGAGGUCAAGGUGGGUUCUCACCUGCAGCAAUAGCAGAAAUGGAAUCCAGUUCCUUGCGGUUGUAGGACUCAGGGCCCUGUUUCUUUCUGGCUGCCAGCUGGGGGCUGUUCUCAGAUCCCAAAGGCCUCCAGUGUUUGCAUGUCCUCCACAAUUUUCAACCCCUGGGGUACAAUAGCAGCUGUUUGGGCUCUGCAUCCACCAGCCUACCUCUUUUGCCACCAGUGAGAGGAAUUACUCUGCUUUUAAGGGCUGAUGUGAGACCCGGUGUGCCAGGUAAUGUGACCAAGUGUGCAUUCAGGGAUCUCAUCCCACUCACCGGUUUGGAGGUGAGGGGCAUGAAAUCCUGGGGCAACUUUAAAAUUCAGCCCACUGCACUUUGUUCCCAGUUUUUCAUCAUUAUAACGCUGUGAUAACCUGGCACAAAGCAUUCUAGAAGUUCAUGGGAUUAAAGUGUAUUAGCAUUUUAUGAUCUCUUCUGGGUACUACCAAGGGAGGGCAGAGCCCCAUGAGCAGCAUCCAAGCUUUGCUGGUGGUAUGACAUCUGUACAAACACUGACCAAAUGGACAGGGGAAGCAGUGUGUCAUUGUUUUGAAUUUGCAUUUCUUUCAUGGACAGUUCUGUUGAACAUGUGUCUGUAUUCUUUAUUUAGUUGUAUUUAUUUCCCUGAGGAUUCUGUAAAUACUUUUUCUCUUGGGAUAGUGUGCUUUCCGUAAUGAUUUUUUAAUCCCCUUAUUUGGAUUGAUUUUA